rnacentral:rRNA from 1 species
AGUGAACGCUGGCGGUAGGCCUAACACAUGCAAGUCGAACGGCAGCACAGUAAGAGCUUGCUCUUACGGGUGGCGAGUGGCGGACGGGUGAGGAAUACAUCGGAAUCUACUUUUUCGUGGGGGAUAACGUAGGGAAACUUACGCUAAUACCGCAUACGACCUGCGGGUGAAAGCAGGGGAUCUUCGGACCUUGCGCGAUUGAAUGAGCCGAUGUCGGAUUAGCUAGUUGGCGGGGUAAAGGCCCACCAAGGCGACGAUCCGUAGCUGGUCUGAGAGGAUGAGCAGCCACACUGGAACUGAGACACGGUCCAGACUCCUACGGGAGGCAGCAGUGGGGAAUAUUGGACAAUGGGCGCAAGCCUGAUCCAGCCAUACCGCGUGGGUGAAGAAGGCCUUCGGGUUGUAAAGCCCUUUUGUUGGGAAAGAAAAGCAGCAGGUUAAUACCCCGCUGUUCUGACGGUACCCAAAGAAUAAGCACCGGCUAACUUCGUG